GUGAAUCAUCGAAUUUUUGAACGCAAAUUGCACUCUCCUCGGAGAGUAUGCCUGUUUGAGGGUCGUUAGAAUAAAAAAUGGAGGCGUUGCUGUUUUUUGGAGGGUGAUCGCGGAGGUAUUGAGAUGUUUUUUAAAUGUGAAUUCAUGUAAAUGUGGUUUAAAAUUCAUUCAUUGGGUGUGAUUAAGAUGUAUUUAUGAUCAAUUUUGUUCAAGAACGCGUGAUGACGUACCAUCUCAUGUAGGACGUUCGACCUGGGUCUUUAGGUACAUUCGUAUACUAUACUCGAA
rnacentral:misc_RNA from 1 species